rnacentral:rRNA from 1 species
UACGGGGGGGGCAAGCGUUGUUCGGAAUUACUGGGCGUAAAGGGCGCGUAGGCGGCCUCAGGUGUCGGAUGUGAAAGCCCGGGGCUCAACCCCGGAGGUGCAUCCGAAACUCUGGGGCUGGAGGUCGGAAGAGGAGGGUGGAAUACCCAGUGUAGAGGUGAAAUUCGUAGAUAUUGGGUGGAACACCGGUGGCGAAAGCGGCUCUCUGGACCUCUUCUGACGCUGAGGCACGAAAGCUAGGGUAGCGAACGGG